rnacentral:tRNA from 1 species
UUUAUAGCUCAGUCGGUAGAGCAAAGGACUGAAAAUCCUUGUGUCCCUGGUUCGAUUCCAGGU